UUAUUUGUUUUACUUUGGGAAUCGACCAGUUGAAACAGUUCGUGACGCCAAAAAAAAAAGAGAGAGAGAGAGAACAAUUUAACGGUCCACCAAUUCGCGUCCUCGACCAUUUCCAAAUUUCGAAACUAUCUCAAGAUGAAGCCCACCCACCGAACUUCCAGGCCGCGGAGCCAGGCAGCCAUGCACCGCCGCGGCGAGGCGAGCCACCGGGGCCAGAGCUCCUCCCGCUGCCGAGGCUAGCGAGGACGACGCUGCCCCGAUCAUUGGCACCUGCCACUGCCACCCUCCGUGCUCGCGUCAGCGCUAGCAGCCUAUUCGGCGAAGGCCGCGACGGCAACAGCCGGAGCCGGCGGGGCGAUGUACCCGUGGCGCCAACGCGCACCACCUGUUCGACGAAAUCACUCGUUCGCGUGGCGCUUGAGCUCAUGGCUACCGUGGUUCCCGUUGCAGACGGCAGACCAGGAAGGAAGGGAACUGGCGCAGAGGGACCUCGCCGUGGUGGAGUGGGUGGGCGGCGACCCCGCGCGCACGUCUCCUUCAAUUCCCUCGCCGUCAAGAAGGUGAGCCGUCCCUUUUGCGAUUGUCCCCGCGUUUGUUCGUGCCGAUGAGUGAGGAGUUUGCUUCCUUGCUUGCUGGUACCUUCUGCCUGUAUGUGCUCGACUGCUUGUAGUCUUCUCCCAAUUCAAAUGGCCUGAUGAGUGAUGACUAGCUUGGCCUUGGCCCUUCCAUGUGGUAGUUGGGUUAGCGCCUGCUCUCUGUGGAUGUUUGUCGCUGGAUGCAUAUGUUCAUGUACUUUUGCUUAGAGGGAGUUCCGUCAGUCCGUCACGUGUGCUAGCUGGACGGAACUGGCGAGCUCUUCAGGGCAAAACGGAGCUGGAUUGCUAUUAUUGAUGAGAGCGUGUUGAAGAUGUUGGCCCUACAUUUUAGUUAGACCGGUGUUUCCUUUUUGCUUGGGAUUCCCUCUUUUUCUAGUAAGUUUCCGGAUAAAAGACAAUCCUGUGUUCUUGAAUGGCCCAAACGGAAGGUCGGCGAGGAAUAGGAUCGAUAACUUGUAAAAAACAAUCCCGCUUAACUUAAUUUUUCAUCACAUUUGCAGAGAAAGAAAGAAGUUUGCGAGUAGAUGGUGCCAUGGUGGUGACUGAUAAAUCAGUAGAGCCUUUCUGUAUCAGCCUCGGAGGCUAUCUUUAGGCAAACAGAGUUUUUGUCUCCUCAAAUGAUGAUAAAACUAUAGACCCCCCUGUCCUACAUCCUUGUGGUCCUUAUUAGCUGCUAAAAUUAUAAUGGUAACAUUGGAAGAAUUUAUUAUACCUGUCGAUCCAGAUCUGAGUUUCUCGUGCCGCCAUGAACUGUGAGUCAAAUGAAGCGUGCCAACAUGAUGGCUAGAAAUUCGUAGAUUGUGUUGAUGUAUUCUACAAUAGUAAAAUGAUCCCAUUUAUGAAUCACAUGGUAUAGCUGAUUUAUCAAUUGUAAAACAUUGUUUCAGGCAGCCAUUUAUGCUUUUGUAUUUGUCUGAAUAAAUGAUAUACUUAAGGCAUCCUUAAGUUUUUUUAUAUUCAUAUUCCGAUGAAAACUUUUUUCUUAUAAAGGGUUUAAUCCUUUUCCUCUCAAUAGCAACAACUAAGUAUUCUGUGAAUUCCAUUUUUUAUAAACCCUGCUUUCAUGCUAGUCCUGCAGAAUUAUAUCUUCCACAAAUGUAAUGGCAUCAGAUAUACGCUCUCUGCUGGUUUUGUGAGAAAAAAUGGAUUAUCUAUUGCAUUUACUGGAUUCUUCAGAGUAUCUAUAUGGAUUUCAUCUUUGAUAGGGCAAGUCUAUAAGACAAGACCUCAGUAUGCAGAACAUAGUGUAUAAUGAAGCAGUUCAAAUACGUGAGGAUGUGGUACAGUCCUUUGUGAAUUCCCUUUAUUGCAUCAACCAUGUUUUAUAAUUCUUGGUUGUCUUGUUCUUCUUGAAGCUUCAAUUUUGAAAUUGAACUUAUAGAGGUUAAUAUGAUUACCCUUGAAGCUAAGUUUGGGGAGGUCAGAUAGCAGUUUCACGUUAUUCAAAAACCACAUUUCAUUCAGUUUAAGUUAGAUUUUCUGCACUCUGCAAAUCAAUCUUAAUCUACCUCUUCUUUCCUUGAAGGAAUGUUGCAAUUUUUUAAUUAUGUUGACCAAAUGAUCACUCUGUGCUCAUGGUAUCAGGCAGAUAACUAGACAUGCUCAAAUGAUUGUUUAGGUUUCUCUUUUGUUCCUAAUUUAGGAGUGAAUGUUUUUUCUCUGAACUAUUGUUUAAUUGGUGAUAAUUUCUGUCAGGCAUUUUUGCCAUCAGUUUUUACCCAUUUAGUGGUCUUUUUUUUUGGCACUGUUAAUUUUGCUGUGUUGCUGGCAUACAAUUAUUUUUCAGCUGGAGGAAUAUCAUGCUUCCAGUGUAAACUUAUAUUGAAGUAUGCGACAUCAAUCAAAGCUUUAUCUAAUAUACCUGCUUACUUUCCAGGUAACGUUUCACAUUAGGUCCCAUCAAAGAUUUGCUCAGUCUUGCCAGGGUUCAGAUGCAUCUUCAUUGUAUUUCCUAAGCAUGGAGAAGUUAACAAAAUGCCUGCUUUCUCAGUUUUAUUUGUAUCACUCAAUCCAUGAGAGUGAUUCCCACAGCAAAAGAGGGGUCGAAUAUUUUCCUUCUAUGUGCUUCUGCAUUUGGGCUGCUUUCAAGAUUUCAUUUCACAGCAGUCUUAGAAACGCUGAAAUGAAACCGGCUAUUGGGAAUGGCCUUACCUUCUAUUGCCAUUUUAGCUUCACGAAUAGAACGCACUUUGUUCUUUAUGCACAACUUUUUUUCAAAAACGUGCAAAUGCACGUGCUUCAUUAAGGAGUAAAAAAAGAAGAGUUAACAAGGAGUUGGUCAA